AGAGUUUGAUUAUGGCUCAGGAUGAACGCUGGCGGCGUGCCUAACACAUGCAAGUCGAACGAAGCGCAUGCCUGGAACCCUCCGGGGGGAAGGGCAUGUGACUGAGUGGCGGACGGGUGAGUAACGCGUGGGCAACCUGCCCCGCACUGGGGGACAACAGCCGGAAACGGCUGCUAAUACCGCAUAUGCGCACAGCUUUGCAUGAAGCAGUGUGGAAAACUCCGGUGGUGCGGGAUGGGCCCGCGUCUGAUUAGCUGGUUGGCGGGGCAACGGCCCACCAAGGCGACGAUCAGUAGCCGGCCUGAGAGGGUGGACGGCCACAUUGGGACUGAGACACGGCCCAGACUCCUACGGGAGGCAGCAGUGGGGGAUAUUGCACAAUGGGGGGAACCCUGAUGCAGCGACGCCGCGUGAGCGAAGAAGUACCUCGGUAUGUAAAGCUCUAUCAGCAGGGAAGAAAAUGACGGUACCUGACUAAGAAGCCCCGGCUAAAUACGUGCCAGCAGCCGCGGUAAUACGUAUGGGGCAAGCGUUAUCCGGAUUUACUGGGUGUAAAGGGAGCGCAGGCGGCCUGCCAAGUCUGGUGUGAAA
rnacentral:rRNA from 1 species